UACGUAGGUGGCGAGCGUUGUCCGGAUUUACUGGGCGUAAAGAGCGCGCAGGCGGCUGGUCAAGUCCGAUGUGAAAGCUCCCGGCUUAACUGGGAAAUUGCAUCGGAAACUGAUCGGCUGGAAGGUGGGAGAGGGUAGCGGAAUUCCCGGUGUAGUGGUGAAAUUCGUAGAUAUCGGGAGGAACACCAGUGGCGAAGGCGGCGACCUGGUCCGAGACUGACGCUGAGGCGCGAAAGCGUGGGGAGCAAACAGG
rnacentral:rRNA from 1 species